UGGAGACCUCUUCAGUUGAUAACAAUAGAGAACAAGAGGGUCAGAGAACAGAAUCAGAUGACUCUAAAGAAGAAAAAACUGAUAUGGACAACAUGAAAGGAAACAGCUCAUCUGUUGCAGAACCUUUGCUUCAAGAGAAUGGAGCAGCUGUAAUGGAAGUUGUAGAGGAAGUGCAAAAACGCACUAGAAGAGAGAAGAGAAAUAUUGCAAAGAAUUAUAAAAAGACAGUCAACAAAAAUGGUACAAUUGAGAAUAAUUUUUAUGCAGAACACAUUACAGUUCAAUAUACUAGUCCUCCAGCAAUCCAUGAUAACCAGACACAAUGUGUUGGAAGGAAGGCAAUAAAUGGUGUAGUAAAUGGAGCAUUAAACAAAGGUUGUGGUAACCAAGUAACUGAUAACCAAAGAACAACUUCACUGUCUUCCGUUGUGUCUCUUGACUGAUGUGAAAAGUUAAAAGCAAUAUCAGCAUAAUAUUUCGAGCAUAUUAUUUAAAGAGGAAGGAAUGCCUAAAAAUGAUUUAAGAGGACCUUUCAGAUGGAAUUAACACUAAAACAUCAUUGCCUUUCCAUUUAAUGAUCAAAAUCCUGAACAACGUAAUAUACAGCUGAAUUACACAUCGUUGGAUCCUGAUUUGAUACAUAUCAUGACUUUGUGAUAUUAUUCUCAGGACUUGAAGUAUGAAGGAUCUGUUGGAUCACUUCUCUUUAUUGAUGAUUAUUUUUGUGAGAUCCUUGGCAUACUAAGUAGUGUUGUGUUAGAGUUUGACUCCAAUUGAUCUCAAAUUGCAUAGAGUGCCUUCCCUACAGAUGAUACUUGAGACAUGACAUGAGAUUGUAAAUGAAUAUGUGAGAUUGUAGAACCUUAAUGUAAAAGCAAACAAAACUGUUAAUGAAUCAUUUCUUUGGUAUUAUAAAUUAUAGUUAUGCUACUUGUUAUAUUGUUUGCAGUGGAUGGUUUUGUUGUUUAGAAUGUAUUUAAAUUGGUUGUUAUUAAAAUAAUGUUUUCUAAAUUGUUGAGAUUGUGAUAAUAGAUGAAAGAUUUAUUAGGAAUAUGUUCAUGUAGUUUUAGUCAAAAUGAAUGUAAAUGUUUCUCUGUAGAAUUUAAGUAGAAAUGAAAAUUCUGAAUGUUUUAAGUGUAUAUACAAUUGUUCAUCUCAUUUAAAUUUUCGUGUAGCUGUAUAUAUAUUUUAUAUUUUUUCUCUAGAUCAGUACCACACUGUUGCAUAUUUGACACUUUUAUAAUCUCAUUUUUUUGUAAACCCAGUUUUUGAAACUGCUUGACUGUAGUACUACGUCUGUUUGUUGAUUACCCAAGUGAUUGUUUCUCAAAGAAAGUGGUGUCAGUCAGUUGAAUUUAAUAAUUUUACAUUCCUAAGUCAUAUAGUAAAGUAUUUUAGAAGUAGAAUCUAGUAUAUUUUAGUUUUUCUAUGGAUAUAAUACUUACAUGAUAUUUUAAGCUGUGAUAGAUACGUAUUUUAUAGAAUUUAUAUUUAUGUGCAUUGGAGGCUUCUCACAGUGUCAUUUUUAAAUAUACUGUUUUAAGCUGAAACAUUUUAAAAUUGGGGAAACAUUCCUGACUGAAAGAUCUUUUUUAUCAAAAAUUUUCCUCUUUCCCAUACAAAUAUACUCAAAUUGAAACCCAUCCGCUUCUGAAAACAUAUCUAAAGUAUAUUUAGUUGGCUAAUGAAUGGGCAUUAAAUGGGCAUUAACUUAGCAUUGAGCAUUACAGAAUGUACUCCUUUAUCCCGGGUAUUGUCCAAUAUGUGCAGUAAUGUUAAAUUGUAUGAUCAUUUUCUGUGGCUGACCUUGUCCAUUUUCAAGGGACACAUAACUAUUUUUGCUGAUUUAAUAGAUCAGAAAUAUUGAAGUGAAAUCCCAAUGAACACACAAAUUUCCCAUUUAUUUUAUCUUUCACAAUUUGAAAUCCACAAAUUCAUAUCCUCACAAAAUAGCCAUUUUGACCAAAACCACAAAAUUUUGUGCCAAUGAAAUUAUAUGAUUUUACAGUAUUUUAUUAUCUUUUUUUAACUGUUUUUUAUAUACAUGUAUAGUUGUAAAGAGAAGUACGUAGUAAAAAUGACACUAUAUGAAUAAGAGAAAAUAAGCGACUUCGUAAUUUCUUGCAUAAAAAAGGAUGUUGAACUUCUAUAUUAUAAUGCACUCUUGCCAGUGAUUCCAAAGGGAAUUUUUUUUAAAAGACAAGGAAAAAGCACUGUUUUUCAAAAUUAUAUCAUUACACUGUGUUGUUAUAUAAAAGCAGUGUUAUUUAAAACUUGUUUUCACUUUAUAUCAAAAUAAGAAAUAUAUUAACAUAACAACUUUUUAAAUUAACAGGGUAUGUUGAUAUUUUUAUCCAAGAUUCAUAAAUUGAUAGAAAGGCCUUGCAAAUUUAGAUUCAGUAAUAUUUGUCCUGUGUGAAACAAUCAAAUGCAUUGCCUUCACUGGAUGUCAGCUGAUAGAUCUUUUCAGACCAGAUUUUGCAGAGCAUAUCGGUUAAAAAAUAAUGGAAAUGGUAAUUGAUAGAUGUAGGAAAUAAAUUUUGCUUAUAUAUUAAAGUUUGUACAUAUUUACUUCAGCAAAAUGUGGACCAAUUGUAUGUAGUGUGUAUUUUUUUAAAAAUAUUUAAUGCUCAAUUUUUUAAAUUUUCUUUUGUGCUGUUUUAAUAUAAAGAUAUGUAAUAUAAUUAGGUGCUUUCCUUGAAUUCAGUUUAAUUUAUAGAAAAGCUCAAGUGUGUGUAUAUCUGAAUAAUGCUUUAGUACUAUCCAUAGUCCGUUUGGGUAUGUGUAUACUGUAGUUAAAGUUUGCAUAAAUACAAUCUUUUUGAUAGAGCUAGUGUCUGUCACCUUAUGCUGCAACACUUUAAGAUACAAGGUUGAGGUUGUGAUUUCAUAUCUGUUUGGAUUUCAUUCUAUGAAAGAGCAUUUGUCAAAAUUUAAAGUUUACUUGUAAAACAUAUUUUUAAAAAUCGUAAGUUUAAAAUGUGUAGAUGUGUGUAGUAGAUAUAGUACUUGAGAUCAAUGACACAAAUAAUGGUCCUAUCUGGCAUUUAUCAAUGCACCUGUAUACACGUGUCUAGUAUCACUUGAAUGGGGGGAAUGUUACCAAGUAAGGAAAACAUCAUACAUUAUAGAGUAUGAAUCUCAUAAAGAAUCUUUAAAAAAUUGAACCAGAUCUAAAAGAUAAGUUGACUAGGUUUUAUAGAAAUGUCCUUUAUUCAGAGGUUGUCUUUAGGGUAUGUUUUCACCUAAUUGGCACUUUAUCUUCUGUUACAUUUUCUGCAGAGUUCUCUUAAAGCAAAAGUAGAUGUUAAAUUUAGCAUAACCAUUAUAUAUCACGUUUUUUAUAUAUAAACAUCUGAUCUGAAAUGUACUGUAGCAAGAUUGCAUUUGAUUGUCAAAAUUACUUUUAAUCAAAAAAGAAAAAGUCUUCAUUUUCUUUUUUUUUUUAUUUUGCUGAAGGCAUUAAACACUUCCAUGAUAUCUCUAAAAUAGUCAAAUUUGUGUUCUAUUAUUUACUAUAUUUGUGCUUUGGUUUUAAGUUAGAGAGUAGUUAUAAUUGACAAAAGAAAUGUAGUUCAUAUAAAACAUUUUAUUUAUCUAAGUAACAAUAUAUGGAGUAAAUGACUUUGUAUGCAUAUGGAAAAAAAAUUUUUUUAUACUCCCAAAAUUUUAAAGGGCACUUGUCCUUCCGUCCACUAUUUGUGUGGCAUGUAUCUUAAACGUAUUUGACCCAUAGUCAUCAAACUUCACAUGAUUGUUUUUCUGCACAGGAAGUUUGGCACUUGGGUUUUAAUUGGAUUUCACUCAGCCACACUAUAGUUAUGGCCCUUGACUUAGUCAAAAAUAUGCAUUGAAGGGCCUAAAGUUUGUGUUGCAUGUAUCUCAAAAAUAUUAGACCUAGGAUUAUAAAAUAUUAUAGGAAUGUGAUGUUGUGCACCUGGGGUUUUGUUUGCGAUAUUAGUCGGCCAGACCUAAUUUAUGACCAUUGAAUUAGUGAAAAAUAUGCAGAAAGAGGGCCUGAAAGUUAGUGCUGCAUGUUUCUCAAGAAGUCAUAGGAGAAUCUUGUUAUGUUUGUACUUUUUAACGAUGAUAUUAACCGUUUCAUAAUUUGAUCAGUCUGUGAUUAUGCGUUGUUAUGUUGCUAAUAUUGUGUUGUUCAGUAGUAAUACAUUUUCGAUGGUUAUUGUUUAAUACUUUGAACUGACUUUUGAUAAGUUUUUAUUCUGUAUUCAUGUUUUACUUUAAACUGGAUCUGGCAAAAUACUAGCCACCAGCAAUGAAAAGCCUGCUGCAGACACUUAAUCAAAAUUAAAUGCAGGUUUGUAUGUCAUAAAGUUAGUCUGCUUCCCUCUUUAUUUUCAUGUUGUUAAUCACAAUUAUUUUUAUGUUUAUAGUUUGUUUGUAGUUCUUGAUAUGAAUAAAGUUUAUUUAGGAACCUCUGUGACCAUAUGGUUAAGGUUGAUGACUUCCAACCACUUCUCUAUCACCACUGAGGGUUUAAAACCUUGCUUAAGGUGUAGAAUUUAUGUGAGAUAUCCACAGAAGCUUGUAAGUUAUACCUAGGUGCCCAAAUGUGCCUGAAAUUAUGCCCGUGGGGCACCUGGUGUCUUCCUCCACCAUCAAAAACCGAAAGUCACAGUAUGACCUAAUAUUUGUCAGUGGGACUCUAAACCUAGCAAUAAAAGACAGAAAUUAUUGUUGUUUUUAAAUGUACAUGUAAUUUGCAUAUUAAUUAAUAUUGACGUAAAAUUGGCAUGUAUGUAUAGCUGUACAAUAAUUAUUGUUUUAUAUAUAAUUUUCAUGAUUUGAAAAACAGAAAGGUAACAAAUGAUAUGUGGGAUACUUUUCUAUUGAUAAACGCAAAUGUUAAUAUCGCCGUCAUAUGUGUUUUAUGUGUAGAUACUACUAGAAGUGGGUGGGGUGAGUUGAUUUCUGACAAACAGUAAUCUUUAGCACAAUUGUGUAUUUUUUCAUAAAAGCAAGGCACUUUGUUUUGUAUUAGGUACAUAUCAACCGGUUAUUUUAAGAUGUGAACCUAUGCCACACAGCCAAUAUGACUGCCAUUUUUUUUCAAAAUGGCGACCAAGAUGGCCACCAAAGGUAAAUGUUUAUAUAUAUGAGCAUUUACGUAUGUUUUAAUGUAAUUGUACCCCCCGACAACAAAGUUGUAAGGGGGGGGAUACUGGUUUCAGGUUGUCUGUCUGUCUGUCUGUCGUCUGGUCGUCUGUCCGUCUGUCCGUAGACGCAAUCUUGUGCGCACCAUCUCUCCUUAUCCCCUUGACAGAAUUUAAUGAAACUUCACACAAGUGAUCAGUACCAACAGUAGUUGUGCAUGGGGCAUGUUAGGUUCUUUUAGAAAAACAAUUUGCAGAGUUAUGGGACUUUGUUUUUUUGUUACUAUACUAUAUACAUAGACACAAUCUUGUGCGCACCAUCUCUCCUCAUCCCCUUGACACAAUUUAAUGAAACUUCACACAAGUGAUCAGUACCAACAGUAGUUGUGCAUGGGGCAUGUUAGGUUCUUUUAGAAAAAAAAUUUGCAGAGUUAUGGGACUUUGUUUUUUUUGUUACUAUACUAUAUAUAUAGACACAAUCUUGUGCGCACCAUCUCUCCUCAUCCCCUUGACACAAUUUAAUGAAACUUCACACAAGUGAUCAGUAACAACAGUGGUUGUGCAUGGGGCAUGUUAGGUUCUUUCAGCGACAAAAAUUGCAGAAUUAUGGGACUUUGUUUCUUGUUAACAUACUAUGUACAUACAGUCUGCAUAUGCAAUCUUGUGCGUGCCUAAUCUACCAAACCCUUGCACACAAUUUAAUGAAACUUCACACAAGUGAUCAGUACCAACCCUAGUUGUGCAUGGUGCAUGUUACAUUCUUUUAGAUAAAUAUUCUGCAUAGUUAUGGGACUUUGUUUUUUGUUACUAUACUGUAUUCAUACAGUCUAUAUACACACAGUCCACAUAAUUAUGCAGUCUUGUGUGUGUCAAAUUGCAAUGUACUGUGUCAGUGCAUGAGGGGGGUACAUUCAUCACCUUUAGUGAUAGCUCUAGUUUAUUGCAGUAUUAAGAUUGAUAAAUACAAUUGAUAAUCAGACCAUAAGCCAUGUAGGCAACCUCAGAUAAACAAUAUAGCGCUUAUUUUUCAAAAUGGCUGCCAAAAGUUAAUAAUGUUACGGUUUCAUUGCAUACAUUAUAGAGUUUACAUAGUUGUUUUAUGUAGUUUAGUACAGUAUUGUGAUUGAAAAAAAAUUCCAAAACUAUUUUAAAUCAGGUUGACACCAUCUCAGACAACCAAUAAGACAGCCACUUCUCACAAUGGCCGUCAAAAAGUCAGUAUGUAUAUACAGACAAUAGGUAGCCUGGAUAUAGAGACAGAAAACAUGGGUAUCCUAGUUAUAUAGGAAAAUUAUCCUGGGUAUACAUACAUGUACAUUCCACUAUGGGUAUCUUAGUUAUACAAUCAUUCACUCUGCGUGUUUUACGCAUACAGAAAGGCCACCCUGGCUAUACAUACAGUCCACUAUGGGUACCCUGGCUAUACAUACAGGUCACUAUGGGUACAUUGUAUCAUGGGUAUACAGAAAGGCCUGUCUGGGUAUCCUGUGCAUACAGACAGGUCAUAUUGGCUACCCAUGUAUACAUACUGGCAAGUAUUGGUAUACUGAAUAUAUAGACAGGCAAUUCUGGGUAUUCUGGACAUACAGAAGGGCCAACCGAGUUUCCUUGCUUUAGAGACAGAUAACUUUGGAUAUUCUGGGUAUACAGGCAUGUCAUCCUGGCUAUACAGUUGUAUAUAUAGGCUACUAAGGGUAUCUUCAGUUUACAUACACACCAUUGUGGGUAUCGUGGGUAUAUAGACAUGCCAUCAUGGCUACACAUUCAGGUCACUUUGGGUGGCAUUGGUAUACAGACAGGUUACCUAUGUAUCCAAGGUAUAGAGCCAGGCCACUCUGUGUAGCCUGGAUAUACAAACAUGUCAUCGUGGCCGUAUAUACUGGCCAUUAUAGAUAUCCCGGGUUUACAUAUAAGCCUUUCUGGGUCAAAAACCUGGGUAUACAGGCAGACCAUUGUUGCUAUACUCUAGGCUGGUAUAUGCGUUGAGUAUGCUUGGUAUAUAGACAGGCCACCUAGGUAGGCCACCUUGAGUAUCCUGGGUAUACAAACAGGCCAUCCUGACCAUUUACUUAAUGUCACCACUAUGAAUAUCCUGGGUAUAAAUACAUGCCACCGGUGUACCCAUGGUAUAGAGGCAGGUUUAUCUGGGUAUCCUUGGUAUACUCUCAGGUCGUCUUGGCUAUAAUUACAGGCCACUAUUGGAUCUUGGGUACCGCUAUUUGUAAAGUUGCUAUAUAUAAAGACCACUCUGGCUAUAAUGGGUAUAAAUACAGGUCGUCCUGGUUAUGUAUACGGAAAACUAUGGGUAUCCUAGGUGUACAAACAGGCCUCUCGAGGUAUCCAUUGUAUACAAACGGGCUACCAGGGUUAUAUUUGUAUGCCAAUAUGGAUAUCCUUGGUCUACAGAAAGGCCGCCAAUGUAUCCAAGGUAUACACGUCACUCUGGAUAACAUGGAUAUACAUACAGGUCAGGUUAGCUAUACAAACAGAUAAACUAUGAGUGUCCGUGGCAUACAAAGAGGAAACUAUGGGUACCUUAGGUAUAGAUGCAAGCCAUUUUGGGUAUCGGGGUUAUACAGACUGACCACUUGUGUAUCCUGUGUAAUAUACAGACAGGCCAUCCUGGCUAUACAUAUAUGUCAGUUUUGACAUAUACUAAUUAUGCUUCACAACUUUACAUCGAUAGCGUAAAGUAAUGGCUCUAAGUUUGCAUGUAUACAAAGGAUACCAACUGUAGAAAUGUAAAUGGCAACGAGGACAUUAAAGUUGUGACGUCUUCUGGUAUUGUGUAUAGAGAAAAGACUAUGAGCAAGAUUGAACUGUGUGAACUACGUUGUGCAAUAUUUGAAUAAGUGUUACAUACCAAUUAUAUUCUUAAUGUUUAGAAUAUUUACAAGCUUUACUUGGACAUUUAUAAAACUGAUAAGAUUCUUAUCAAUGGUUAAGAACAGAUAUAUGUGUACUAAAUGAACGUUUUAAAUGCAUAUUUGAUACAUUUUAAUUAAUAUUCAUGAGUAUGCAAAUGAGCUGAAAAACUCUUAAUUAAUAUUUAUGAAGAACAUUAUUCCAAAAUCAAAACAUCUUACUAUCUCAAAAUAUAGUUAAUAUGUGAGAUAUGUAAAUAUUGUCAGUUUUUUAAUUUAUUUAUUUUUUUUAAUUAUUAAUACACCCCACCCACUUUUGACAGUAUUUACUCUUGCAAACGAUAAAUAAUGCUACAAACAGAUAUAUAUUUAUAUAAAGUAGUGUUUCAAAUGUGAUACUGCCUAUUUUUGUCCAUUUAUAAACACAAAUAGUGAAGAUUUGAUCUUUGCAUUAUUUGAAAAUGUCAUUUUUAACGAAUUAUCUGCCUUUUUUUUUUAAGUUUUCAUGAAUAUUCAUAAGUAUGUAAAUGAGAAAAUUUGAUGAAGUGUUUGUAAAUUGAAUGUACGAAGUCCUGGCUUUAUUUUGAUACCAUUAUUGUUAUUCUACUCCGAUAAAUGACCAAGAAACAAGGUAUUUUAUGUGACACGCAUGAAAAUAUGCACCGAAUGACCUUUGACCUCGUUUAUUUCACUAUAAAGGGCCUCUCAAGGGUGACUACCGGGCAAGUCUUUCUUGUGACACCUAGUAGAUAACGUUUAACAUAGUAUAGUCGUCCAUCUUCAGAGAAUGCCUACGAAAGUCACAAUUUUUGAAACUCUAGGCAUACUACUUUGAACCAUUUAGCUUUUAACUAUGAGUGGGUGCAGUUGCAUGUGUAAUUGUUACUUGGAAUGAUUCAAGGUUUAACUAUUAGUGCAAAUAUUAAUGAGAAAAGUUGAAGGUGCAAAUGUUAUUGGGACAGUUGAAGGUGUAAUUUUUUUGGGAACAGACCAGGAUGCAGCUGUUAGUGCAGCGUUACAUGGGAACAAUGUUAUUGUAUAUUGUAUAUUUGUAUGUACUGAUUAUUUUUAAUUAUAUUGGUUGUGUUUUAUAUUUGAAUCAGAUUUAUUCCAGUUACAGUUAGGGAAAUAUCAUAUUUGCUUUUGGAAACAAAUUUAACAAUCUGUUAUGUGAUAUGUUUCUAUAUAUAUUUUUGUGUCACUGUCAGAAUGUUUUGCCUUUGCUGUUGUAGAUUGAUACGAACUCAGGCCGAGAAUAUCUAUGCAAAAUAUAUCCCAUUGUUAUGAAAGAAGUGCUUCCGAUUGUAUUAUAAAUUACAGUAUUUGAUUCGACUGCCAAAAUUAUUAUAUGCUAGUAUAUUCUUCAAAAGUUUGAUUAUCUCCACAAAUAUAGUUUUUUUUACCACAUGUGGAUAAUAUGUGAAUUAUUUGCAUAGAACAUGUGAUCUAAGUGAGAAAUCCAGCUAAAAUGAACUCAUUUACUAACUUAGCUUUUAUACUGCUGCAAUGUGGUGUAUAAUGAUUGUUUUCCAGGCACUUACAUUGUGUUUUACAGAUAUAGUCCCUUCCUGAAACUGGAUAUCCCAGUUUAUAAGUCAUAUAACGUCGAUUAGGGUAUUAUCGGACAAAAUUCGUAAAAUUCAAGUUUAACACUACUUACCGUAAAC